rnacentral:sRNA from 1 species
CGUCUAUGGUGUGGGUAGCGGAAACGCCCCAGCGCUUUCUAAUUGUAGCGUAGGACACCUAUGGACG